GUGAAUGUACCACAUCUUAACUUGACCUCUCUUUCCUAGCAAUUGCCCUUGUCAACAUAGCCUUCAAUGUCUGCAAACACUAAAUAAGAGACUUAAAGAAGUCAUCCCAUGCAUAACUCAAGCUUUCUUCAUUAACAAUGGCAAAGCUCCUUCUGGUAUCAGCCUCUGCACUAGUCCUUGUCAUCCUAUUGCUUGAGCUUAGGUUGGCUUACUCUUCAGCCGAACCACAAGGGCCAAUAAAGGAAAGCAAGGCCAACUUUGAUAAGCAGCGAUCAGCUCGGAUUUUAGGAAUGGCAGCUCCACGUCUACGACCCCUUCGGAUAUUAACAAAUGCAGGCAGGGACCGUGAUCAUCCAAGAAAACCCAGUCAAGCACCUCCUAAAGCACCACCUGGUGGACAUCCCUAGUACGAGGAUCGGGUCUUGUCUAAAGAUUCGUAGUGACAGUAGGACAUCAUUGGAUUUUGCAGUGACAACAUAGACAAAACAGAGCAAAACUCUGACCUGUGUAUAAAUUGCAAUGUUUCAUUCUUGAUUUCCUGCGCAUAUAUGUAUGAAACUGUUUGUUUCCCAAGAAUAAGUUAACAGUUGGUGUGAACUGCCUGCCACCUUCAUGAAUACAUAAAUUGAGAACCAGUUAAAGUGAUA